rnacentral:rRNA from 1 species
UACGAAGGGGGCUAGCGUUGCUCGGAAUUACUGGGCGUAAAGCGCACGUAGGCGGCCCGGUAAGUCAGUGGUGAAAUCUCCUUGCUUAACAAGGAAACUGCCAUUGAUACUGCUGGGCUUGAGUACAGAUGCUGUGGGCGGAAUAUGACAUGUAGUGGUGAAAUACAUAGAGAUGUCAUAGAACACCGAUUGCGAAGGCAGCUCACAAAACUGUAACUGACGCUGAGGCACGAAAGUGCGGGGAUCAAACAGG